UAGGGAAUCUUCGGCAAUGGGGGCAACCCUGACCGAGCAACGCCGCGUGAGUGAAGAAGGUUUUCGGAUCGUAAAGCUCUGUUGUAAGAGAAGAACGUGUGUGAGAGUGGAAAGUUCACACAGUGACGGUAACUUACCAGAAAGGGACGGCUAACUACGUGCCAA
rnacentral:rRNA from 1 species